rnacentral:rRNA from 1 species
ACUCAAAUGAAUAGACGGGGGCCCGCACAAGCGGUGGAGCAUGUGGUUUAAUUCGACGCAACGCGCAGAACCUUACCAGGCCUUGACAUCCUGUGCUCGCCGGAGAGAUCCGGUUUCCCCGCAAGGGGCGCAGAGACAGGUGCUGCAUGGCUGUCGUCAGCUCGUGUCGUGAGAUGUUGGGUUAAGUCCCGCAACGAGCGCAACCCUCGCCUUUAGUUGCCAUCAUUCAGUUGGGCACUCUAAAGGGACCGCCGGCGACAAGCCGGAGGAAGGUGGGGAUGACGUCAAGUCCUCAUGGCCCUUACGGCCUGGGCUACACACGUGCUACAAUGGCGGUGACAGUGGGCAGCUAGUCCGCGAGGACAUGCUAAUCCCAAAAAGCCGCCCCAGUUCAGAUUGCACUCUGCAACUCGGGUGCAUGAAGGUGGAAUCGCUAGUAAUCGCAGAACAGCAGGCUGCGGUGAAUACGUUCCCGGGCCUUGUACACACCGCCCGU